rnacentral:rRNA from 1 species
UACAGAGGUCUCAAGCGUUGUUCGGAUUCAUUGGGCGUAAAGGGUGCGUAGGCGGCGCGGUAAGUCGGGUGUGAAAUCUCGGGGCUUAACUCCGAAACUGCAUUCGAUACUGCUGUGCUUGAGGACUGGAGAGGAGACUGGAAUUUACGGUGUAGCGGUGAAAUGCGUAGAUAUCGUAAGGAAGACCAGUGGCGAAGGCGGGUCUCUGGACAGUUCCUGACGCUGAAGCACGAAGGCCAGGGGAGCAAACGGG